rnacentral:lncRNA from 1 species
UGAAUACUGAUGGGAGUUACCAAAGACUCACCACUGAAGUUGUGCUCCCUACUAAGAAACGUCGUUGUAGGAGGUAAUUAUAAAUUAUCUUCCGUUAACAUGUCUAAUGCGUCUUCUAAGUUCUAAUAUUGAUUUCAUCUUCACUUUCCAGGUCUACGAAAGGCACGACUGAUUUGCCUAUAGCAACUUCGAAGAAAGAAAACUGCACAAGGUAAUCCCUAAGAAAUUCAACGUAAAAGCAUAUUGUUAUAGGUUAUGGUUUAAAACAAUCCGGGUGUUUAUGUGUCAGAAAAUCAAUAUUUGUUUCAUCUGAAUCAGAACCUGAUUCUGUUCAAAACAAAGAGGACGAAGAAGAAAACAAAGAGGAUGAAGAAGAAACCAAAUUAUCUUUAAAUGAACACAAUACACAUGUAAGCAAAUUCCUAUUUUACAGCUUUCAGUGAGAUACUACUCAUUUUAGAGUUUUAAACUUGCCAUCUUUAAUAGGUGAAUUCUGAUGGUGGUAACACAAAACUCAAAACUGAGGUUCAGCCCUCCACUACCUCUGCAAGACCUUUGAGGGAACGACGCCCUAAUAGGUAUUUUCUAAUUGGCUUCAAAUAUCAUGUUAUAUUCUUCUAUAAAGUUUUAAAACCCUCAACCACGUUUUUACCUUCCAGGAAAUAUCUAGAUGGUCUUACCAUAUAUCAAACAUGUGACAGGUUCACUCUAAGCUAAUUUGAUUGUUUCACAAAAAGAGUUUUGUCAUUGGUUUUAAUAAUUUUCUGCGUCUUCUCUCACAGGUCAUAUAACCAAAAAACAGUUUCCAUAGUUAAAGGCACCACUAAAGAUAAUGAAGAUGAUACAACCUUACCCGAACAAGAAGAAGGAGAAGAAGUUAAAGAAGACGAAGACUUUCCGCCACAGGUUUUAAAAACACUUACAUUUUUUAAGAAAAACAGAAAUAAUAUUAUAUUGUUCCAGGUUAUUAUGAUUACAUAUUUACAAAAACCUAUAUCUUCUAUAGACAAUUUCUGUUGGUGUGGUACUCUAGAAUUCCUGGAAGACUAACGAGGAAACAAGGAGCUAGCAGGUGCUUUGGAUUUUGUAGCAGUAAUACGUCAUAUACUUUUUGUCUCUAAUUUUUACUUCACAUAACAGGAGUCACGUAGCUGAAGAUGGAUUGUCCUCUAUAAUGCCGAACAGAGGAAACACCACCAGGUUAAUUUCUUAGUUAAACUAAUAACUUAAUCUUAAAUAAUAAGAAUAAAGGUUAUAAAUUUGAACUGCCCAAAUAUGUCUCUUUUGGGUGAUAGGGAAUCGUCCAAAACAGUUAUUCCAAAAGUUACAAGCACCCGACAUGGUAAAGGACGCAACAAACAAAUCAUCUCAUCUGAUUCAGAAUAUGAUUAACCAGCAUUAAACAUGUGGCAGGUUCACUCUAAGCUAAUUUGAUUGUUUCACAAAAAGAGUUCGCCUUUUAAGGUUGAAAGCUUGGCUUGGGCAUCAAUAGCAAGUGUCCCCCAAAAGAGAUAAGAGUCAAUAGAAGGAGUUAUCAUACAUUAAAGUAUCCUUUUAGAUAUGGGCAACAGCCGAAGUAUCCUUAUACUCAUAUUAUUUUCAUACUCAACCUUCACAUUAUAUAAUUUGUACAUGCCAGUGAAUUGGAAGAAGAAAAAGGUUGAUAGAGCCGGCGUAGAAUGAUCCAACCAUUGGAACCAGAGCCACCAUUAUCAUCUGCCCCGAUCUGGCCGAACCCAACACAUAACCUCCCAUGGUUUAUAAAAUUCCUUAUCUUUCUCUUAUCAAUCCUUCCUCUUAUUCUUCUACUCUCUGGCUCGAUCUUAUACUUUGCUUUCUAAAAAUCAUGUGAAAGUUAGCAAAUUUCAGACAAACUUUUUUGGUCUUAUUUGAAAAUCAACAUAGUGGAG